rfam:Danio rerio chromosome 4, GRCz11 reference primary assembly.
CCCGGCAGCUAGCUCUCUACAACUCUCACAUGGCCGCCCACUGAAGCUAAACAGGGCUGUUCCCGGUCAGUACCUGAAUGGGAGACCACAUGGGAAAGAUAGGUUGCUGCCGGAA